CAGCUGAUAAGUGAAAAUAAGCUCAUAAACACACCUUCUAAUGAUUUCAAGCAAGUGGAUAAGAACUAGUAAAAGAAACAAGCCCUUGAGGAGAAAUAGAAAUGAACAAUGCCCACCGUUUUACGUUAGGAUAUGAGCAGCAACACCUGACCCUGGAUCAUCACUUAUCCUGAUAAAUCAUCAGGCCUCAGACUCCAGGUCUUCCAGUCCUUCACCGUUUGCCUCCUCUCCUGUCUCACUCUCCAACAACAGGAACUUCCCGUCGUUGGUCAGAGGCACGGACUUCAUAAGGAAUUCUGAAGCAGGCAGCACAAUAUCGAACUGGAUGGGCGUUCCAGGGGCGAUUAGGUCUUCAGGCUCUGGAACAGCAGAAGCAGCAAGGGGCUUUGUAAUGGUAGGAGGGAGCGCAGAGCCUGGCUUAGCCCUACAAAAAAGAUGAGUGAGUUUAGCUUAAUAACAGUGUAAAGAUGCAUGAAAUGAAGGCUGAUAUAGCAGUUAAAAAUUGACGCUUCAUCGCAUACUGUUACUAUAAGAGCACUUAAGGUGUGGCAAAUGAUUUUGUGGGUGAAAUGUGUAGACAGUUAAGUAAGCAUGUGAAGCUUUACUUUUUAUAAUAAGCUUGCAU